rnacentral:tRNA from 1 species
GCGGGUGUGGCGGAAAUGGCAGACGCGCAGGACUUAGGAUCCUGUGGGCGACCGCCCUUGUGGGUUCAAAUCCCACCGCCCGCACCA